CAGUCGCCACGGUAAUACGUAGGGUGCAAGCGUUAAUCGGAAUUACUGGGCGUAAAGCGUGCGCAGGCGGUUUUGUAAGACAGAGGUGAAAUCCCCGGGCUCAACCUGGGAACUGCCUUUGUGACUGCAAGGCUAGAGUACGGCAGAGGGGGAUGGAAUUCCGCGUGUAGCAGUGAAAUGCGUAGAUAUGCGGAGGAACACCGAUGGCGAAGGCAAUCCCCUGGGCCUGUACUGACGCUCAUGCACGAAAGCGUGGGGAGCAAACAGGAUUAGAUACCCCAGUAGUCCCUGUCUCUUAUAC
rnacentral:rRNA from 1 species